CCUACGGGGUGCUGCAGUAGGGAAUAUUGCUCAAUGGGGGAAACCCUGAAGCAGCAACGCCGCGUGGAGGAUGAAGGUUUUAGGAUUGUAAACUCCUUUUGUUAGAGAAGAUUAUGACGGUAUCUAACGAAUAAGCACCGGCUAACUCCGUGCCAGCAGCCGCGGUAAUACGGAGGGUGCAAGCGUUACUCGGAAUCACUGGGCGUAAAGAGUGCGUAGGCGGGGUAAUAAGUCAGAUGUGAAAUCCUGUAGCUUAACUACAGAACUGCAUUUGAAACUGUUACUCUGGAGUGUGGGAGAGGUAGGUGGAAUUCUUGGUGUAGGGGUAAAAUGCGUAGAGAUCAAGAGGAAUACUCAUUGCGAAGGCGACCUGCUGGAACAUUACUGACGCUGAUGCACGAAAGCGUGGGGAGCAAACAGGAUUAGAUACCCCAGUAGUC
rnacentral:rRNA from 1 species